rnacentral:rRNA from 1 species
GAGUUUGAUCCUGGCUCAGGAUGAACGCUAGCGACAGGCUUAACACAUGCAAGUCGAGGGGCAGCGGGGUUGUAGCAAUACAACUGCCGGCGACCGGCGCACGGGUGAGUAACACGUAUGUAACCUGCCCUCUGCAGGGGGAUAAGCGGAAGAAAUUCCGUCUAAUACCGCAUAAUACAAUUUGGAGACAUCUCCGGGUUGUCAAAGGAGUGAUCCGGCAGAGGAUGGACAUGCGGCGCAUUAGCUAGUCGGCGGGGUAACGGCCCACCGAGGCUACGAUGCGUAGGGGUUCUGAGAGGAAGGUCCCCCACACUGGUACUGAGACACGGACCAGACUCCUACGGGAGGCAGCAGUGAGGAAUAUUGGUCAAUGGGCGGAAGCCUGAACCAGCCAAGUCGCGUGAGGGAAGACGGUCCUAUGGAUUGUAAACCUCUUUUGCAGGGGAGCAAGGCGCGGUACGUGUACCGCGAAGGAGAGUACCCUGAGAAAAAGCAUCGGCUAACUCCGUGCCAGCAGCCGCGGUAAUACGGAGGAUGCGAGCGUUAUCCGGAUUUAUUGGGUUUAAAGGGUGCGCAGGCGGACUGUUAAGUCAGCGGUAAAAUGUCGGUGCUCAACACCGGCCGGCCGUUGAAACUGGCGGCCUUGAGUGAGCGAGAAGUAUGCGGAAUGCGUGGUGUAGCGGUGAAAUGCAUAGAUAUCACGCAGAACUCCGAUUGCGAAGGCAGCAUACCGGCGCUCAACUGACGCUCAGGCACGAAAGCGUGGGUAUCGAACAGGCUUAGAUACCCUGGUAGUCCACGCAGUAAACGAUGAAUGCUCACUGUCCGGGCCGUUUAAGGCCUGGGUGGUCAAGCGAAAGCGUUAAGCAUUCCACCUGGGGAGUACGCCGGCAACGGUGAAACUCAAAGGAAUUGACGG